rnacentral:rRNA from 1 species
AUUGAACGCUGGCGGCAGGCCUAACACAUGCGAGUCGAGCGGAUGAAGGGAGCUUGCUCCUGGAUUCAGCGGCGGACGGGGGAGUAAUGCCUAGGAAUCUGCCUGGUAGUGGGGGAUAACGUCCGGAAACGGGCGCUAAUACCGCAUACGUCCUGAGGGAGAAAGAGGGGGAUCUUCGGACAUCACGCUAUCAGAUGAGCCUAGGUCGGAUUAGCUAGUUGGUGGGGUAAAGGCCUACCAAGGCGACGAUCCGUAACUGGUCUGAGAGGAUGAUCAGUCACACUGGAACUGAGACACGGUCCAGACUCCUACGGGAGGCAGCAGUGGGGAAUAUUGGACAAUGGGCGAAAGCCUGAUCCAGCCAUGCCGCGUGUGUGAAGAAGGUCUUCGGAUUGUAAAGCACUUUAAGUUGGGAGGAAGGGCAGUAAGUUAAUACCUUGCUGUUUUGACGGUACCAACAGAAUAAGCACCGGCUAACUUCGUG